rnacentral:rRNA from 1 species
CCGACACGGGGAGGUAGUGACGAAAAAUAACAAUACGGGACUCUAACGAGGCCCCGUAAUUGGAAUGAGUACAUUCUAAAACUCUUAACGAGUAUCCAUUGGAGGGCAAGUCUGGUGCCAGCAGCCGCGGUAAUUCCAGCUCCAAAAGUGUAUGCUAAAGUUGUUGCGGUUGAAAAGCUCGUAGUUGGAUAUUGGGCGGGCGCGUGCGGUCCGUCGCAGGGCGUGCACUGUUCGCGUCAGCUCCGCCUUCGGUUCUCCGCGGGUGCUCUUGACUGAGUGUCCGCGGUGGCCGACAAGUUUACUUUGAAAAAAUUAGAGUGUUCAAAGCAGGCCGGUCGCCUGCAUAGUGUUGCAUGGAAUAAUGGAAUAGGACCUCGGUUCUAUUUUGUUGGUUUUCGGAAGCGAGGUAAUGAUUAAGAGGGACAGCCGGGGGCGUCCGUACUCUGCCGUUAGAGGUGAAAUUCUUGGAUCGGCGGAAGACGAACUACUGCGAAAGCAUUCGCCAAGAAUGUUUUCUUUAAUCAAGAGCGAAAGUCAGAGGUUCGAAGACGAUCAGAUACCGUCCUAGUUCUGACUAUAAACGAUGCCAACUAGCGAUCGGGAGGCGUUACCAUGACGACCUUCCCGGCAGCUUCCGGGAAACCAAAGUCUUUGGGUUCCGGGGGAAGUAUGGUUGCAAAGCUGAAACUUAAAGGAAUUGACGGAAGGGCACCACCAGGAGUGGAGCCUGCGGCUUAAUUUGACUCAACACGGGGAAACUCACCCGGCCCGGACACGGGAAGGAU